rnacentral:rRNA from 1 species
GUCCCGCCUGCCCUGUGACAUACGUGUUUAACGGCCGCGGUAUUUUGACCGUGCAAAGGUAGCGCAAUCACUUGUCUUUUAAAUGAAGACCUGUAUGAAUGGCAUAACGAGGGCUUAACUGUCUCCUUUUUCAAGUCAAUGAAAUUGAUCUCCCCGUGCAGAAGCGGGGAUAACCCCAUAAGACGAGAAGACCCUAUGGAGCUUUAGACACAAAGCAGACCUUGUUAACCCCCUCUAAACAAAGAAUAAAACCAGAAGAAUCCUGCCCUAAUGUCUUUGGUUGGGGCGACCGCGGGGAAACAAACAACCCCCACGUGGACUAGGAGAACUUCUCCCACAACCAAGAGCCACAGCUCUAAGUAACAGAAUCUCUGACCAUCAGAUCCGGCUACAAGCCGAUCAACGGACCGAGUUACCCUAGGGAUAACAGCGCAAUCCCCUUUUAGAGCUCAUAUCGACAAGGGGGUUUACGACCUCGAUGUUGGAUCAGGACAUCCUAAUGGUGCAGCCGCUAUUAAGGG